rnacentral:sRNA from 1 species
CCGGCCUGCAUAUUCCAGUUGCUCCU